GAUGAACGCUAGCUACAGGCUUAACACAUGCAAGUCGAGGGGCAGCACAGUGUAGCAAUACAUGGGUGGCGACCGGCGCACGGGUGCGUAACGCGUAUCCAACCUUCCCGUUACUCUUGGAUAGCCUUCCGAAAGGGAGAUUAAUACAAGAUGGUAUUCAAAUUCCGCAUGUUAUUUGAAUUAAAGAUUUAUCGGUAACGGAUGGGGAUGCGUGACAUUAGAUAGUAGGCGGGGUAACGGCCCACCUAGUCUACGAUGUCUAGGGGUUCUGAGAGGAAGGUCCCCCCACACUGGAACUGAGACACGGUCCAGACUCCUACGGGAGGCAGCAGUGAGGAAUAUUGGUCAAUGGUCGGAAGACUGAACCAGCCAAGUAGCGUGAAGGAUGAAGGUUCUAUGGAUUGUAAACUUCUUUUAUACGGGAAUAAAACCUCCCACGUGUGGGAGCUUGUAUGUACCGUAUGAAUAAGCAUCGGCUAACUCCGUG
rnacentral:rRNA from 1 species